UACGUAGGGGGCAAGCGUUGUCCGGAAUCAUUGGGCGUAAAGCGCACGUAGGCGGAUCUUUAAGUCAGAGGUGAAAUCCCAAGGCUCAACCUUGGAACUGCCUUUGAUACUGGGGAUCUUGAGUCCGGGAGAGGUGAGUGGAACUGCGAGUGUAGAGGUGAAAUUCGUAGAUAUUCGCAAGAACACCAGUGGCGAAGGCGGCUCACUGGCCCGGUACUGACGCUGAGGUGCGAAAGCGUGGGGAGCAAACAGGG
rnacentral:rRNA from 1 species